rnacentral:rRNA from 1 species
CUACGGGAGGCAGCAGUGGGGAAUUUUCCGCAAUGGGCGAAAGCCUGACGGAGCAAUACCGCGUGAGGGAAGACGGCCUAUGGGUUGUAAACCUCUUUUUUCAGGGAGGAAUUUUGACGUGUACCUGAAGAAUAAGCAUCGGCUAACUCCGUGCCAGCAGCCGCGGUAAGACGGAGGAUGCAAGUGUUAUCCGGAAUCACUGGGCGUAAAGCGUCUGUAGGUGGUUGAACAAGUCAACUGUUAAAUCUUGAGGCUCAACUUCAAAAUCGCAGUCGAAACUGUUUGACUAGAGUAUAGUAGGGGUAAAGGGAAUUUCCAGUGGAGCGGUGAAAUGCGUAUAUAUUGGAAAGAACACCGAUGGCGAAGGCACUUUACUGGGCUAUUACUGACACUCAGAGACGAAAGCUAGGGUAGCAAAUGGGAUUAGAUACCCCAGUAGUCCUAGCCGUAAACAAUGGAUACUAGAUGUUGAACAGAUCGACCUGUGCAGUAUCAAAGCUAACGCGUUAAGUAUCCCGCCUGGGAAGUAUGCUCGCAAGAGUGAAACUCAAAG